rnacentral:rRNA from 1 species
AACGAACGCUGGCGGCAUGCCUAACACAUGCAAGUCGAACGAAGGCUUCGGCCUUAGUGGCGCACGGGUGCGUAACGCGUGGGAAUCUGCCCUUAGGUUCGGAAUAACCGCUGGAAACGGCUGCUAAUACCGGAUGAUAUCGCGAGAUCAAAGAUUUAUCGCCUGAGGAUGAGCCCGCGUUGGAUUAGGUAGUUGGUGGGGUAAAGGCCUACCAAGCCGACGAUCCAUAGCUGGUCUGAGAGGAUGAUCAGCCACACUGGGACUGAGACACGGCACAGACUCCUACGGGAGGCAGCAGUGGGGAAUAUUGGACAAUGGGCGAAAGCCUGAUCCAGCAAUGCCGCGUGAGUGAUGAAGGCCCUAGGGUUGUAAAGCUCUUUUACCCGGGAAGAUAAUGACUGUACCGGGAGAAUAAGCCCCGGCUAACUCCGUGCCAGCCGCCGCCGUAAAAC